AUGGGCUGCAGGUUGUUCUUCUAUGUGGUCCUCUGUCUCCUGGGAGCAGUCCCUAUGGACACUGAAAUUACUCAGACGCCAAAAUACCUCAUCAUGGGAAUGAGGAGCAAGAAGAAAUUGAUAUGCAAACAAGAUAUGGGACACAAUGCUAUGUAUUGGUAUAAACAGAGUGCUCAGAUCCCAAUGGACCUUAUGUUCAUCUACAAUUUUAAAGAACUUUCUGAAAACAACACUGUUCCGAGUCGCUUUUCACCUGAAUGCCCGGAUAGCUCCCAUCUCUAUCUUCAUGUUGAUUCCCUGCAGCCUGGAGACUCAGCCUUGUAUCUCUGUGCAAGCAGCCAAGACACAGCCCUGCACAGUCAGUUUCUCCCUGUUCACAAACCCCCUGGUUCCUGCCAGGAAGCUGUGGGGUAA